CGACUUUCCUCCGAGACAAGUACACGAAGCUCCGCCCUUAAACGCAGAAAACAAAUCUUAUUGGGUUACGUAGCCUUCUGCUUGUUUCUAAUUGGCUAAUCUAAACGUCAAUCAUAACAACACGGCAGCAGGUUUUUUAUCUAAUCGCAUUAGCACGCAGCUAAUUCACCGAUUUAUCACAUUCUUUAUCAGUUUUAAGUCAUUUAACGAGUGUAUAUUUAAUAUUUAACGCUAUAUUGCUGUAAAUUUAAAAAUGUCAUAUCAUAUUUUAACCAGAUUCACCUUGAUGAUUUUUUUAAAUAAAUGUGCUUCCGGUUAUGAACGCUUUUAAAUUUAACUUCCGGUUCACCUCCUACUUCAUCCGGGUUAUUUUACAGCUAAUAUCUCCUAAAGAGAUGUCGAGUUGAACAGGUGAAAGUGCUGAUGUAUUCUUUAUCGUCGCAUUUCCAGCUGGAUCUUUAGGCUUGAACACUGGAAAAACCCCACUGAUGUGCACUUUUUAAAGAAAUAAAUGAAGGUGAUGAAGCUGGGAAGGAGAUAAAGUUGAUGGAGCAUAAAUGCACUCGCUGGAAAACAAAAUAUGGAAAUAAUACCAAUAAAACAAUAAGUUUUCACACUUUUUUUUUUUCUUCUUCAAUUGUUUAUCUUCCUGGAAAAGUAAAUUAAACAUCCAAAAUAUCUUUUAAAGAAAUCCAGGAAUUCAGUUUUUUUUUUUUGUUUUUUUUUUUCUUGUAUUUUAUUUUCAAAAUCUUUUUUCAUUUUAAAGCAAAAAUGUGUUCAGAAUGGAAUUUAAAAAUGU